UGAACUGGUAAUAUUUGUGCAAUGAUUCCGCAUCCUGGACCCAGUGGGAGUCCCAGUUACCUUGGUCCUCCGCUGGGACAUAUGGGUGGUCCGCCGAUGGGAGGAAUGGGGAUGCCUCCACCUGGGCUUACCCCUCCAAUGGACCAUGGAGCCCUGACUCCCGAUCACCCAGUAAUGCAACCUCCUAUGAGCAUGACACCUAACGGACCCAUGAUACCAAUGUAUGGACCCGGCGGUAUACCCUUAACUAAUGCAGGUCAAAUGACUGGCCCAUCGCCAUCAUCAAUGUCACCUCAGCAAAUGGAUGGAAGAUUGAGUGGUCCCCCUCCGCAAAUGCAACCGCAUCCAGGAAUGCCCCCUCACUUUCCAAGGCGAAUUUCGUUCCCACCUGCUGAUUUCAAAAUCUAUGAAAUGUGCAGAAAGUUACAGCUUAAACCUGAGAACUGCGACAAUAUUUGGUGGGAUCAGUUUGUAUCGGAGUUUUUCGAAGAUGAUGCCACAUAUUCCCUGAACUUCUGUCUUGAAGAUGGACCCAAGCGCUAUUCUUUUGGUCGGCAUCUCAUACCGAGAUAUUUUCGUACCAUGUUCGACAGUGGCGUAGCCCAACUCUGGUAUAUCCUGCGGAACCCCAAGCAAGAUGUCAUGCCCUCUGGUGCAACUGGAGGGGUGAGCAUUAUCUUAGACUGUGGAAACACUCUAAUGUGUACAUAUCAUGCCAAACCCAGUGCAGCACAUGUUGCAACCGAAGGAAAACUAUGCGUUGAGUUCGCAGCUUCACCCGGUGGUGAUUACGGAAGCAUGCGGGUCCGCCAUUGGACGUUUACUCUCGGCGCAUGUCACGAGUAUUUGCUUCGUCAAGAUCUGCAAGCAGUUACCAGAAAUCCUUCCAACAUGAAUACGACAGAACAGUUGAAUAAUUUAUCAAAGAACAUCACGAGAUGCGGCUUAACAAACAAUAUUCUCAACUAUUUAAGGCUCUGCGUGAUUUUGGAGCCAAUGCAAGAGCUCAUGUCGAGGCACAAAAUUUUCGGGGCAUCUCCGCGUGAUUGCCUAAAGAAUACAUUAUUCGAACGAUUCCAAAGAACUAUGGCCCCUCCGCAUGGUCCACAUAACCAACCACUGCUGCCUAGUGGUGCCAUGCCACACGAUAAUCCACCAUCUGUUGCAGUCUCUGAAAGCAGUUCUCGUCCUACAUCAAAAGCAAGAAGGAAAAGAAAAAAUUCUAACGCUGCAGGCGGUUCUAGUGGAACGAGUUCUGCAAAUACGAGUCCAGGAGCUGCAAAUGGUCCGAACUCUACGCAAAACUCUGGUGGUUCCGCAAAUUCAGAAUCAGGAGGUAACUCUAGCAGUGGAUCUGGUGGUGGCAGUUCUAGCAAAAAGAAGAGUAAUUCAAAUGCAGCAGCUAAUCUUCCAAGUUCCGUGUCUCAAGCUUUCAAUCCUUCAAAUGUGGACGUUCUUGUGGUUGGGGAACCUUCAUUAAUGGGCGGUGAGUUUGGAGACGAAGACGAAAGAAAAAUAACUCGACUAGAAAACAGCACUACGCCCUCUACGACUGGGAGUUUUUCGAAUACCUCCAAUAAGUCUUGUAACUCCUCAAAUACAGGUCCAGUAAGUAACCCAAAUAGUACAGGGAACCCCAUGAUUCCCCCGCCGUCUCCAUUACAGGGCUCAAAUUCUAACCCAAUCGUAAAUAAUCUCAACGGCGGAAGAGUUUCAAAGCUGAUGAACGGCGGUCCUGGAUCUCCGGCAACAUCAAUCGCUUCAUCCCAGCAGAUCUCCAAUUUGAAUUCCAACAAAAUCAAUGAUCUGCCGCGACCCAAUAGCACCUCUGCGCAGCAGCCUACGAAUAGCACAGCUGCAAUCACUAGCCUGAAUAUUGCGCCUUUAGUCAAUGGAAACUUCCUUCAUCGAAGUAACAGUUCCCCUCACACGCCUGUCAAUGGAGGUCCCGGUAUGAACCCGGGAUCGGUAAAAUCAGACGGAGUUCAAAUAAAGUCGGAACCCAAUUUAAGGAACCAUUCGACUCCACCACCAUCUGCAGCAGACAAUGGACCUCAAACAGGUGGACGCUUCCAGAGUGUGAUAGCCUCCCAGGGUAAUGUGGAGAAUUUGCCAAUAAACGACCUGAGUAAUAACAGCGCUUUGUUUAACAAUAACCUCAUGCCGAAACAAGAGAGGAAACCCCAGCAGACGCCUUCACCUCUCAGCAACACAAACGGAACUGGACCACUUCCCAACCAAUCAGGACCUCUCAAUUCCUCCGUGAUGGGACAUCCACCACCUGGCUCAAAUAUGAGCGCAGAUGCCAGUUUCAUGCCAAACCAGAUGCCUCCUCACUCGACCAACAUGCCCAGCGAGUUCAAUCACUCCUUCUCAGAUAUCAAGAAUCAGACUCCUCUCAGUGCUCUUCACAAUAGCAUGGAGAUGAAGUUGGGAGGUCACCCCGCUGGUCACCAUGGGCCCCAUUUUGUGCCCUGGAGAGGAGGUCCACCGAUGAUGCCUGGAGGAGGGGGGCUUCCACCUGGCAUGAUUCCCCCUGGUAUGUCAGGGGGUCCGAUGAAUCAUCGCGCAGAACUCUUAUCAAAUCAAGCUGCGGCGCAUGCUGCCAUGAACGCUAACAUUGCCAGUCCCGCCUUCUAUCCUCUUCAUCACAAGUGACAUAAGCGAUGACGCCACUCAAGAGAAACGUCACUAUUACCAUGUCUCUGUGAGAAGAUGAUUUAUAACCUCACCAUAUAUGGACUGAUAGGAACGACUAUAUGGUGUCAUAGAUGGACAGCCAUGAAUGGAUUUAUUUCAUCUAUAGUUGAUCGGCGAUAUGGAAAAGUCAGCAGAAAUUACUACUCAAAUCUCUACAAAUCAAAAAAGCUACUACUGCAGAAAUAGUUAUCAUUGGAAACCGCUUCCGGCCCCGACCCGACACAGAAUGUAUCAGUCACGUGACCAAAAUCUUGUGCAAGAAAGUAGAUGUCCUGAGUAAGAGAUUGUCGAUAGUCAAGACAUGCACAGAAUCCAAAUCAACCAACAGACGAUGCCCGACUAGUCAAUAAAUGCGCAAUCCAAUCCAAUACGUUUUUAAACCUCAGUAGUGUUAGAUUGACCUACAGAAAAAAAACUUGAAGAAAGUUUAGGUCAAACAACUGUUCAAAUUGAAUCUAUCCAUUGACUACUUUCACCAAACAAUAUCAGUUCGUUUCUUUACUCUGUGAUUAGAAGUAGCGAAAAUACACAAUCUUUUAAUUUUGGUUGAGUUUCAGCAAUUCGAAUCAACUUUCACUAUUCUUCAUUUCAAAACUUUUUAAGUCUUCUGUGAAUCUAUUUAUUUUCUCGAGCUCUGCUGAUUAUUUUAUAAAUUUUCGUCAAAUCUAUUUUUGCAUAUUGUUGUCUCAUCUUUUGUAAAAGAAACUAUCAUAAACUUAUUGUGACAUUUUGGGCGUCGAUCAGAUCAGAUAAAGUUGGCAUGAAUUGGAACUUCGUCAUUUGUGUGAUUCUAAAGUGAUUGUAUUUCUUCAGUUGUUGGUUCAGUUCUGUCAUUAUGUUGUUAAUUCGAAUCCUUUCUUCUCGCCUCCAUAUAAUUUGAAAUUAUAUUUUUCUUCAUUUGCCAAUUUGUACAUUUACUCUAACAUUCUGAUCUACCGUCAGAAGAACAGUUUCGAUUAAUUCAGUUCAGUUCGUUCACACUAGAGUUCACACGUUGAUGUGAAGUGAUAUCUGUUCACGUCACGAACUUUUUACUCAUCAGUCUAAAAUCCCGCCCUGACUAGAUGCGAUUUUUUUGUUCUGUUCCAGCAGUAUUGUAUUAUUGUGAUACAGUACACCACGCCACGUAUACUGCUGCUAUUCCAUACCCCGUAAAUAUUUCCUUGCCGAUUUCUCUUCUAUUUUUCCACUCUCGCACUUUUAUCCUCAUCAUACCUCGCUACUCGCUCUUUUUGCUAGCUAGCGACUGUAGGAAAUAAAGAAAGAAGAAACACUUAAACUGAAGCUACAACACAAUACCUGCUCUACAGUUCAGGUAUACGAUUCGAGCAGUAGAAGGAGGAGGAGGAGGAGGAGGAGGUCGAUGCUAUUGCAUCUUGCGUUGUAGUAUUUUUGUAUUUUUAUUUCGUCCAAUUUUUUGUUGUUAUUUAGCUUCUGUUCUGUUCUAUUCUGCGGUGCUGGUACUGGAAAAGUGACUACUGUUCUGUUAUGCUAGCUAGUAGUACUAGUACUUCUCUUACUGUAUUGUACGGAGGGAUUUGAACAAAUAUUGUGCGACUAACCAAGUCAUGUCUGUAAAGAGAAUUCACACCGCCGCCUAUUGUUCACUCAAGGCGAAGGAAAAAAGAAGAAGCAAAGAGGCGGUGGUGGUGAUAUUGAACGUCAUAAUAGCAAGAGUAAAGACUGAUGCGAUGAUAAAUGCGCGAUAAAAAUUUCAAGUUCGAAUUAAAAUAAUAUGAAAAGUAUUUCCGGUGCCAUAAGUUUGAGUAUCACAUGGCAUAUCGCGUU